GACGAACGCUGGCGGCGUGCUUAAUACAUGCAAGUCAACUUGACUUUAGAUAGCAAUAUCGAAAAGUAGGGUGGCGCACGGGUGCGUAACGCGUAGGUAAUCUGCCCUGAGGUCUGACAUAACCCGUCGAAAGGCGGGCUAACAUCAGAUGAUAUAUAAUCACGACAUCGUGGAAAUAUCAAAUCUUCGGAGCCUUGGGAUGAGCCUGCGUCUGAUUAGGUAGUUGGCGGAGUAAUAGCCCACCAAGCCUACGAUCAGUAGCUGGUCUGAGAGGAUGAUCAGCCACACUGGAACUGAGACACGGUCCAGACUCC
rnacentral:rRNA from 1 species